rnacentral:tRNA from 1 species
GAAAAAGUAGUUUAUAAAGAAUGUCAAUUUGUGGUGUUGAAGGAAAAGUUUAGCUUUCUUUUUUA